UUUCAGAUAAGAUCAUUUGUUCUUUAAACAUCUUAGCUUUAGAGUUUGUAAUAUCUCUUUAGCAAAACCGAUUUCAAGGUGUGUCAUGUCCUUAGAUCACCUGGGAAUAUCAAGAGCCUUUCAAAACUCUUGUGCGACCCUUCAAUCCAUUCUCGUGUGGUUGAAUCCUUUCUAAGCCAAGUUCUAUCCAAUCCAGUCAUUAGAAUGCCGGUGAGAGGAAGAUCUUCAACAAAAAUCAUAUUAAGUGGUAUCAGAG
rnacentral:lncRNA from 1 species